rnacentral:piRNA from 1 species
CGAGAAGAGACACGCCCACC